rnacentral:rRNA from 1 species
GACGAACGCUGGCGGCGUGCUUAACACAUGCAAGUCGAACGGAAAGGCCCUGCUUUUGUGGGGUGCUCGAGUGGCGAACGGGUGAGUAACACGUGUGUAACCUGCCCUUGACUUUGGGAUAACUUCAGGAAACUGGGGCUAAUACCGGAUAGGAGCUCCUGCUGCAUGGUGGGGGUUGGAAAGUUUCGGCGGUUGGGGAUGGACUCGCGGCUUAGCAGCUUGUUGGUGGGGUAGUGGCUUACCAAGGCUUUGACGGGUAGCCGGCCUGAGAGGGUGACCGGCCACAUUGGGCCUGCGAUACGGCCCAGACUCCUACGGGAGGCAGCAGUGGGGAGUAUUGCACAAUGGGCGGAAGCCUGAUGCAGCAACGCCGCGUGCGGGAUGACGGCCUUCGGGUUGUAAACCGCUUUCGCCUGUGACGAAGCGGGAGUGACGGUAAUGGGUGAAGAAGCACCGGCUAACUACGUG